CGCUCGCGCUGCGCCCACUGGCGUGAGACUGGGGAGGGGGACGCUCGCGCGCCGCCCGCCGCAGGAUACGUAACGCGGCGCGCUACGUGUGUGUGCGUCGUCACCGCUUGCGGAAGCGGAAAUUACGCAUGUUAGCCCCUAUCCUGUCUUGAUCUGAAUCUGAAUCUGAAUCUGGCUCUGGCCCGUCUCCUGUCUUCGCGCCCGCGGCGGCGCCCUCACGGCGCGUUCUUUGGCCAGUCACAGUCCCCGGGAGCCAAUCGCAGCGAGCGUUGGGGGGGGAGAGCGGGGGUGCGAGUGCCCAGAACUGACCUGUACAACCGCCAACCGCCGUUGCUCCUGGGCCUCUUCAGGGAUAACGGGGUGGGGGGAGGCCGAGCCCUGUCACCGCUGCCUGGCCUGGUAACAGUGUCAGUCGGGGGCUGAGGGGCGAGUACAAAGAUCAAUUGUCCGUGGCCACUGGUGGCAGGACGAGAAGUAACGGGCUUAAUCUGCAGCCGGGGAGGUUUGGGUUAGACCUAAGGUAAAACUUGUCGUAACUUUAAGGGAAGUUGAACUGUUGAACAGGCGUCCGAGGGAGGCCCUGGCGUCCCUGCCAUUGGAGGUUUUUAAGACCGGGUUGGACAAGCACCUGUCGAGGGUGGCCUAGGGUAACUCAGUCCUGCCUCAGCGUUAAGGGGCUGGUCUUGAGGAUGUCUCAAGGUCCCCUAAAGCCCUGCAUCUCUGUGAUACAAAAGGGAUGUGGAGAGGCUGCGUAGGACUCGUGUGAACUCUGUGUCACAGAACCGGGUUGGUGCAUGAGAUCAGCAUGCCCAGUAGAGCUUUAUGUCUGUGACAUUUGUUUUCCACUAUGGCCAUCUUCAGUUAAUAUUCUUCUGAGAUUAGAGUGUAUACACAAUAGGCUUAAUCCUCAGACCAAGUCUGUGAUUGACUACCUACCUGGAGCCAUUAUGAUGUGUUUAUCAUGAGUCCAAGCUACUUCAGCAACUGUAUAAGUCUGUUUCCUUCAGCUCUCUCUCUGUACAGCACCCUGACCAGCAAAAUUAUCCAGGAAGAAAUAGGAGUCAAGUUCUUUCUUCCUUAAAGCCAGUAUUAAUACAUGAUCUGGGCUCAUGCUGACAUAUUUCAUACAUGGGAGGGAGAUGAGGUGACACCUGCUUGGAUAUAGCUGCCUGUAAAAGGCCUGUUAAACGAAGAGGCCACUCCUUUCAGAAGGGGGUGAAGAUCUACCUGCCAGCGUUCUUGACAAAUCCAAUAUCUGCCAGUACUUGUUGGCAGAUGUCACAGCAGAAGCAUUCUGGAUGCCAGCUAUUAUUCAUAGCUUUAAUAACACGACCGAUAAUGAACUCACCUGUAGGUUAUGAAAGGCUAAGGCUUGCCAAACAUUGAGGGAAUGGAGCUUCCAUUCUUCUGAGGAUGUGUGACGUUUUGGGAAGAAUACAGCGUAAGGAGGCUCUGCCAUCUAUGCCGCAAGCUCACCAACCCACGUGGCUGAGGUGAUGGCUACCAGGAAUGUGACCUUCAUGGAUAGGAGAGACAUGAAGCAAGAAGCUAAUGUUUCAAAUGGAGACUUAGUGAGCACUGAGAGAACAAGGCUGUCCAUGUAAGCUCCCGGACUCAACAGGAAUGCGUCAGUAAUCAUCAUCCUUUCUGGUGUGAAGGCGAGGAAAGGAACACCAACACAAACCUGAUGGGGAUUUUUCCAUCAUGACAGGAACAAUAUUACUUUGGUGCUCAUGUUUGAUAAAGAAGCUAAAGCUUCGGAUACUGGAGGUUCCAAUCUGGACCAAGCGGCAGUGACAAGGAACUGGAGAGGCAGUUGGUCAGCCUCACCCUUUAUUUCCUAAGUGGGAGGCACAAGGUGACCCAGGAUGCAUGUGUGGACCAACACACGCUGCUUUCACAAUUCUCUGGCUCUGGAUGCAUGGAGUGAAUGCAUACCCACAGUGGAAUUCAGACAGGGACCAGCACUUGAAGAAGAAGCCUGAGUUACACACAAUGCCCAUACGGUGCUCCAGGCAGAGAGGCAUUGUGAGAUCAGAGGAAUAUUGACUAUGUAUUUGUAUUUCAACUAUGCUACUUUGGGUGACGCCCACUGCCAACACUCCAGGUACAACAAUGGACAAGCCAGACAGGGCAGAUGGCCCAUCAACAAGGACAAUGGACUGUAAAAAAGCUUAGUCUUCCUAUGAACCCGUGGGUCAGUCUGUGAAGAAUGGCUAUAAGGGCCCCACAGAAUCAGGUGGUCUUGUAACCUGAUACUAAAACAUUACCUCGGACUUCUUGUAACUUUCCACUGUAAAGAAGUGGGGGUCAAACUAGGAAACAAAGGACUCCCGCCUUAUGCAAAUCCUAUUUAAGGGUGGGGAGUGAGGUAAUCUGGGUCUUCAGUUCUCCCCUGCUACUCCACCCAAGAUGACUGCUGGGAACAACUAAGACUGAACUGGGGGAAAGAACUGAACCCAGGCUGGAAGGGCGUCUGGCCUGUGAAGAAGAUUAUCAGAACCACAUUUAGGGUGGACCUUACAUGUAACCAGUUUCUUUAGUGUAUUAAACUAAUUUUGUGUGCUCUGUUUUAUUUU